GAACUAGUGAAUUAUUUGGACUCUUCAUUUGUCUCUCUUUGCAUUCAUUCUACAACAACUUGUACGUAUCGUGUAGUAAAAAGUGAGGUACUUCAAAAUGAGGACCUCGCUUAACUAGAUAUGAGCCCGUAAGCACAUGAUCCAUCACCAAGAUCGCUUCGUUCUCGAGGCACGGUCCUGGUACACCGGCGACUUGCAGCUGCCGUCUGUAUACCACUCUGGUGGUCCUGGCCCGCGCCAAGCUCCUCCUCCUUGAACGGCCGGCACCCGGCGAACGGGGGCGUUGGGCAUGCGUGCGGGUAGUAGGGGAAGCGCUGCCGGUCGGACGGGUCGAAGAGCAGAAAGGACUGGCGCGUGUUCACUUGUUGCAGAAGUGGUGGUUUUUCAUGAUUUUUGAUAAAAGUGGUGGUUUUGGAGUACCCUUGCCACAAUUGUGAUGGUUUUGAGCAAUUUUCUCGACCUCGGACCAUACCCUCACCCUAUCGUCUCCCGGGGUCGUUGGCAUAUGGUGGAUUGCCUCAAAUUCGAUUUCACCCUAUGAUCAUGUUCAUGGUGGUGCAACGAUGGUUGUGACCUCCCCACCAUAAUAAUGGAGAAGAGGUGGAAGAGGUGGAGGGGGGGGGGGGAGAGUAAGCAAUGAAUGCAUAUUGGGGACGGACAAAGGUUAAAGACAGGCUGCUCGCUAGUCAACCUGACACAUCGAUCUAUGUUGAUAAAACCCUUUUUCCAAAUAUUUCUGAUGUUCAAGUGGCACAUCUAAAUAAUUCUUGUUCUUGAUUCAAUUUUCUUUUGCUCAUGCAUUUCUUUGUUAAUGAUGGUCAAGAACAGAAUCUUGUUACAAACUCAUUUUCUGGAUUAAUUUUUGAAAUUAAUUAGUUUCUGGUUCAUUAAUUAGAUGAGAAAUAGUUAAUUAGUUAUAAUGAUUAUUCACGGAAAUGGGUUCCUUGCUUUGGUGGUCAUUAGAGAUGGAAAACUUGUAACGUGAUGUGCAAAAUGCAGUGUGAAAAUAAAAUGUAAUUAUGUGAAGUGAGUAACCUUUGAGAGGGAGGGGGGGGGGGGGGGNNNNNNNNNNNNNNGUUGCGAGGCAGGGGGGGGGGGGGGGGUGGGGGGGGGGGGUAUGAAUAAGGAUGUGAGGUCUAUUUUGUAAAACGUGAGGGACUUCAAAAUGAGAAUCUCACUAAGUUAAAUCACUGGGGCUGUGACUGUGAGCACAUCGUCACCAAGUGUGCUUCGGCCCCGCAGCGCGGUCCUAACCUGAAACACACCGGCGACUCGCAGCUGCUGUCUCUGCACCAGCUCUGGUGGUACUGUCCCGCGCCGAGCUCCUCCUCCUCGAACGGCCGGCACCCGGCGAACGGGGGCGUUGGGCGUGCGCGCGGGUAGUCGGGGAAGCGCUGCCGGUCGGACGGGUCCAAGAGCGGAGCCGGAAAGAGCGGGGAUUGCAGGUCGUGUCGCCUGCCAGCUUUGUUUUCGAAACCAGAAACAAAAAUCCAUGGCAUCGCGUCGCAUCUGCNNNNNNNNNNNNNNNNNNNNNNNNNNNNNNNNNNNNGCUGAACCGGAAAUCGAGAUAUACAUGACCAGGCCAGCGCGCUCACCACUUCCCUCGGAACGGCUGCUCCGUUUUCCCCGGCAUCGUGGCACUCCACGCUGGAAUGUGCAGGCCGCUGCAGUUCCAGUCAUGGAUGGUAUCCAAGCAGCCGAUGAUGACUCACUGAUCGUAGCAGUAGAAACUUGGUGAGACAGCAGCCGGCGAUUUCCUCGUCGGCGUUGCUUCUUGUGAAAAAUCAAGCCAACACGCUGCCUCCUGUUCAAGCCGUCGAGGAUCCGCAGGUAAUUUCUGGUGCCUUCCAUGCCUACACUGUUUCAUUUUUUUUUUUUGAAAACUGUUUCAAAUUCGUGUUGUGUGGCUACAGCAAGUACAAGGGGAUCAAGAUUGCAUAACUCUAAGUCUCUAACACAAAGAAGUACAAGGGGAACAUACUAUUCAUCUUUUGCCUCCACUAGAAAAGGCCUCGCCUAGCUUGCACUUUAUAAAAACUUUGAGUGGUAGCAUUCACAUAAAGUCAUGGGUUUUUGGUAGUUGAAUGCAUACCUUGAUUGAUUAGAGCAUCUACAGCCGAAUCUCUCAAUUCCUCCUCAAACAUCCGAGAAAGUCACCCGGUCACAAAAAUUCGAUCGAGACGGACUUUUCAAACCGUCUUCAAACGCCCGGGCUGACCGAGACCUCCAUUUCCAGCCCAAAUAUGCGGCGGAUAUGGGGAGUCCGGACGCGCCCGGACACGUUCGCCACGUCGGACCCAACAGCCCAACCCUAUCGCAAAUUGCACGAAAUCCACCCCAUAGAACUGUCAGAUCCAUUUCAUGUUUUUCUCUCUUCUUCCACCGUGCGCCGUCCGUCUUGCAGCUCCGCCACCACGCGCGCUCCGUCGCCUAGUAGCCUUGGCAACCCCAGCCGCUCAGUCAAAGGAAUCAACUAGGAAGGAUGUGCAGAGGGCUUUUGGAGUGCUGCAAGCGCGUUGGGAAAUUGUUCAUGGGAUGCAAUGAUGUGGGAACAAGAAGCUUUGUGGCAGGUGAUGACAUGUUGUAUUAUUUUACACAAUAUGAUUGUCGAAGAUGAGGGUGAUGGUGUACCCCAAACCAACUAUUUUGAAACACCUCGAGACCAAGUUUAAAUCCCUGAAGAUCAAGAUGCAAUGCAGCUUAUGAAUUUUCUGCGUAUGCAUCAAAAUCUCCAAGAUCAUCACGUGCACACACAACUACUCAGUGACCUGGUGGACCAUAUCACAAGUAAAAAACAUGGCUUUUGUCCAGGUGAUAUAAGAGCUUUAGUCCCGGUUUUGUUACGAACCGGGACCAAUGGGUGCAUCAGUCCCGGUUCGUGAGGCCAGGGCGCCGACCGGGCCAGGGUCCCGGUUCCAGACACGAACCAUGACCAAUGGUCCUCGCUCCUGGCGCAGAACCUUUAGUCUCGGUUGGUGGCUGGAACCGGGUCUAAAGGUCAGUCUUUUGUCCCGGUUCUGGCCACCAACCAGGACCAAAGAGAUGCCUAUAUAUUCCCUCGCCCCUGCCCACCCUCUCCUCUGUGUUUUGGCCGUGUGGGAGGUGUGCAUGCCCUGCUUUGUUCAUCGUUCGAUCCAUGCAUAUGAGGUGUUCGAUGAAAUACUCGAGCCACACUUAAGGUUUCUCCUCUCCAAGCUCGACCUCCAAGCUCCAUUUUUCUCAAGAUUUGUCUAGGUUUGACGGUGCACCAACUACACAAGUGUUCUAAAAGGUUAACUACUUCAUCCUUUCAUCUCUCACUGCUAAUUUAGCUCAUUUCAAAUGCUCUAGAAGUAGAGUGGUUUGUGGGUUUUAGUGUAGGAGUGUAGGUGGGAGUUCUGUUGAUUUAGAUGCACAAUUUAAGCUUAAAUUAACUUCCUUGAGUCUGCACAUGUGUAGGGUGCCGUCCCGUCCCUGACCUCACCGUCGUCGAUCGCCCGCACCGAUCGCGUCGCCGACACCAGCGCGGUGAGCCUUUUGUUCUUAUCUUCUUUCCAAAAGAAAAAAAAUCUUGUAUAAUUUAGAUAGAUACUUGUAUAAAUUUCUUACUUUUAUUAUUGUUUGUUAUUGUACAGUGCGAUGGUUUGGUAUCCGCCCACGUCGACCCUCGUCCGGCCUAUGAUUCGGACAUGAUAUAUUUUCUUUUAUAACUAUUUAUUUCAUUUUAUUAGUGUUUAUGAUAAUUAUGCCGACCAACGUACCGUACCAGUCGACCAAGUGCGCGCGGCACGGUGACCGCCGGCGGUGCGGGCAGGACGCGAAGGCCGCCGACGCCGCGCACACCUCGCGUGCCGCCUGCGCCUUCCCGACGGCGUCCGCCAUUGGCGUGGCCGGCCCGGUCAAUCGAUCUGUCGACGUACGACGACCGCCGAGAGGACACGCGUGUGUAUGAGUGAUCGAUCUCUCGACGAAGGGAGGUUUUUGUUGGCGUGACUUGUCCGUCUCGUGGAGUAGUGGCUGGGGAGGAGAUUGAAGCCAGAGAGGGGUGGGAAGCGGUUCCGAUGAGGACGACGAAGGAGUGGAGCCGGAAAGAGCGGUGAUUGUGAGUGCAUGCAGGUUGUGUCGGCCUGCCAGCUUUGUUUCCGAAAUCUAUAUCGCGCUCCAAAUAAAAACGCGCAAAGCCGUUUUGUUACGCACCCUGGAUCAACUAUAACGCGCGCAUGUUUUUUAUGCGUUUGCUGGAGCGUCCGGAACGCGCGCGUUUUUUAUGCGUUUGCUGGAGCGUUCAGAACGGCUGCACGUACGUAAAAAAGACUGGCGACACUAAAGUAGCGCGUCUGCUGGAGAUGCUCUACCAGAAAGAAGUAGUACAAGGGGAGCAUAAUAUUCAUCUUUUGCAUGGACUAGGAAGGGCCUCGCCCAGCUUGCACUUUAUAAAAACUUGAGUGGUAGCAUGCAUUGACAUAAAAUCAUGGAUCUUUGGGUAGUUGAAUGCAUACCUUAAUUAUAUGCUUGGUCCUUCGAUAGUUGAAUGCAUAUCUUGAUUAUAUGCUUGGUCCUCCGGUAGUUCAGAGGAUACAAGAGACAACAAUGCCAUUGAUAGCCUCCAUAAAAUUGGACAUAUCACUCCUGCUCAUGUUCGGAUUGGACAUCACCCAAUCUCGAGAUGGCAAUGCCCUGGAUGGCGUCGACCACCGCGGCAAGGGCUUGGACGUGACAUCGUCGGAGGCGGGACGUGAGGUGUCAGGGGCAUGGGACGAGAGGAGAGGGGUGAGAAAGAAAUCGUGUCGGAGGAGACGAACCCGUUUUGGGGAAGAAGAAACACAUUCAACCAUUUCUUUUAGACAGGACUGUUAGAAGUAUAAUUGGGCUUAAGUUAGAGAUAAGGAGAUAGAGAUAAAAUUAGUUUAAAUCACAUGUAACUUGUCUUGUACUCCAAGCCUCUACCCCUCAUGUACUCCUAUAUAUAUUCCCACAAGGGUUAGACAUCGAUGACACAUCGCGCGCGCGCCAGCACAUGACGCGCAGCACGCAGGGACACCAGCCAGCUGCCACACCCGCGGCGAAUCGCGCGGGGCACUGCAUGCAGCCAUGCAUGCAUGUGGUCGGCGACUCCUCUAGAGCAUGCAAAGCUUCUCGUCGAUACGUUGACGAUUCCAUUCUCCUGCGCAUCUCGUGGAGCACCGAGCCGACUCCAGCGCUUCUCGUCGGCCUCGCGUCUCUAUGACACAAGCAGAGCCCAUGUGUUCACGUCCAUGAAUGGAAUCCAGACUCCAUCUAGGCUCAGGGCUGCGUACUCGUGUACAAGAUUAAGAGGCUCCACUUGAAGGGAGUACGUCUGAUCCGCAUUGAUCCUCGACACAUCAUCAAGUUGGACAACUACAUCGAUCGUUCUGCACUGCAUCAAACCAAACUACAUCAGAUUCAUCGUCGAGCACACUACGAGAAGCAACAUCGACAUGCAUCACCCACACGCGCAGCUGUGAAUAAGUGACGCAAUUCUUCAUCGAUUUCCCCGGCGCGACACGGCAUCGACACUUGGUCGUCAUAAGGGACGCCUUCAAGCGACACAUUAUCGUUGACACGCUGCUGCGACGCCACCGCCGACACUUCAUCGCCAAGGUCUUCACCAACAUCUUCGUCAACACGCCGCUGCCCCUCGUCCACAAGAUGGACACCUAGCGUCCUCUGACAAAUUUUUCUGCAAGGCGCGACCCCGACGACGGCAAUGACCGCGUUACGACGACGACAUCAACCGCGUCAUUCACGACUGCAUCGACAUGGCGUCACUACAGUGACGACCCCUACACGGCCUCACGGUUCUGGCAAAAUCGAUGUGUGCUCGAUGGGUUUCCUCCGGUCCUGGCAAAACCGGCGGACUCAUCGCCGACGGCACCCUCUGACAUCCGCAAGGUGCAUCGUCCACGUCUGCAGCUCCGUCAUAGCGUAUUUUUUUGCGCCUCCGGCUUCGUGCGGCUUCAUCAUCCACGACGAUCACACAUCGACCACGACUACCUCGACCACGGCUGCAUCAUCAUGAUCGGCUACCUCCACAUCGACAUUAAUGGCUUGGUCUACAGCAACUCAUCGGCAACAACUCCAGUCAACAGCGUCCGCGUCGUCACUAGCGUCCACGCCACUCCCGGUGUGACCGCGGGAGGGAAUAGAGGAGAGACAAGGAAGGCACCAGAAGGGGACGCAGUCACCACCCUAGGUGCCGACCCAUCAGAGACGCAGUUGAUGAUGACGCGGUGGAGAAGAUGACAAAGGCGCAUGACUUCAAAUUCAGUCGCAAGCGUCCACUUCACUCCCGCUACGACUGAGGGGUAAUGUUAGAAGUAUUAUUGGGUUUAAGUUAGAGAUAAGCAGAUAGAGAUAUAAUUAGUUUAAGCCACAUGUAACUUGUCUUGUACUCCAAGCCUCUACCCCUCAUGUACUCCUAUACAUAUAUCCCUACAAGGGUUAGAUCAAUACAACACAACAACACACAAUACUCAACCAUUAUAAAAUUUCCACAAGGAUAGUCCACGAAAUUCGACUGACAAUAAAAUAUGAUUUCAUCCAUCCAACGUAUAUGUUGCCCCUUUCUUUUUAAGAAUAAAAACUAAAAAUAUGAUUUCAUCCAUCCAACGUAUAUUUUGCCCCUUUCUUUUUAAGAAUAAAAACUACUCCAUUCUAUUCAUAAAGCCGCAUUGAUCAGAGGGAGUAUUAAACUUUUGACCUCUGUAUUAAGAUCAUGCACCUACCCAACACACAAAACUGACUAGUAUUAGUUUCUCUAAAGGCCCGGUUGAUUUUCAUUCCCGAGAAGCUAAGUAGAGCCAACCACUACAAGAAAUAUAUUAAUUUGUGACCUUCUAGCAGUGAUCCCGUUUUCGAAAGCAGGCCAUCGCAUUCCUUUUUUUGCACACGAAAUCAAGAUCUACCCGACCAAGCUAGCGCACUUCAUUACUAGAAAAACAACUAUAGCUAAUAUGAACACUAAUGACGCACUAUACAUGUGGUGCGUCAUUGCUAAAUAGUAAUAACACAUCAUGUGUAGGUUCGUCAUUAGUAACUAAAAUAGUAAUGACGCACUAGGUGAAAUGUGUAGUUUGGCUGAACUAGAUAUGACUGAGCGCAUCUAUCUAAAAAAAAAAAAGAUCUGAGCGCAUCAUCACCACCAGGGGCGCUACGUCCUUGCGGCGCGCUCCGGCGCGGUCCUGACCAGGUACACCGGCGACUCGCAGCUGCCGUCUCUGCACCAGCCCUGGCCGGCGCCCGAUUCCGUCGUCCUCGAAAGGCCGGCACCCGGCGAACGGCGGCGGUGGCCGGGCGUGCGGGUAGUCCGGGAAGCGCUGCCGGUCGGACGGGUCGAAGAGCGGGAACGACUGGCGCCUGCGCGCGCCGGCGGCGUUGGCGCGCAGGAAGCCGUCGAUGACCCGGCACUCGUCCCGCAGUCGGUUCUGCACCUCCCGCAGCGCCGACUGCGUCGUCGGCGCGGGCGGCCUCCUGCCGCCGCCGCCGCCCUGCUGCUUCGCGACGGAGCCACGUGCCUUGCCGUGCUGCUGCUGCUGCGCGGACGACGCUGGUGUCGGCGUCCUCAUCCUGUCGCUGGCGCGGCGUCUGGCCCUGAGCCGGUCGUGGCAUGCCGUGCAGAAGGCCGUGGCGUGCUCAUCGUCGAAGGCCCUCCGGCGCGCCUUGUCCGUCAUGCACGCGUGCGCCUGCGAAACGAAAUGCAGGGCAGACCACGUUAGUGCGCUACUGUAUGAGUAACAUUGCCAUCACGUGUAAACUAUUUUUUUUUAGAAUACUACUCUGUAUUAAUUAAUUAUUAACGUUAGUGCGCAUUCGCGUGCAGUUAGUUGGCCUAAACAGCUCGAAUUCGAAGUGGCCACGAUCAAGUAACCGUAACUGACGGAUGAAGGUACUAGCAAAGAAACAGCCAAUCUCUUCCAUAGGCAACAACCUAGCUACUGACGGAGGGAGAACUUGUUGGUAGGAGUAUAAACUAGGAAUGUCAGAACGGCAGCAACAACAAUAUAAAAAGGCAAAGAGAUUCCAAGUGAACCGCAAGAUCAUGAUUAAAAGGGACACGUACCCAACGGCUUGCGCGAGCACGCGGAGCGAGUAGAUGAUCAAUCGAGUGUAAAUUACCUCGGAGACGAGCUUGAAGGCGACCUCCGCCUUGGGAUGCCCGUUCUUGUCCGGGUGCAGCUGCAGCGCUGGCCACGAAUCAAUCCAGAAAAAUUACCAUCAGUGUACGGGGGUACGAUCAGUAAUUAAACGCAGCCAUCAACCGUGUGGCGUGACGUAUUGGUACCGAGGUGCCGGUAGCGCCGCUUGAUGGCGUCCUCCGACGCGGCCUCGCCGAUCUGCCACCGGUUCCCGACAUGGAGGAGUUAAUUAACACGAUGGCGAAGACAGAGGCGCAACGAGGAGGAAGAAGGACGUGCACUGCAUUGGUAUGUACGUACGGCGAGGACGAGGUACCAGUCGACCAAUUUCGCGCGGCGCGGUGACCGGCGGCGGUGCGGGAAGGACGUGAAGGCCGCCGACGCCGCGCACACCUCGCGUGCCGCCUGCGCCUUCCCGGCCGCGUCCGCCAUUGGCGUGGCCGGCCCGGUCGAUCGAUCUGUCGACGUACGGCGACCGCCGCGAGGACGCGCGUGUGUAUGAGUGAUCGAUCUCCGGUGAAGCAGUCUGUCUGCGUGAACAAGGUGUCGGAGGACGAAGAGAGGUUUUUGUUGGCAAUGUGGCACUCCACGCUGGAAGGUGCAGGCCGCUACAGUUCGAGUCAAGGAUGGGAUCCAAGCACCCGAUGAUGACUCACUGAUCGUAGCAGUAGAAACUUGGUGAGACAGCAGCCGGCGAUUUCCUCGUCGGCGUUGCUUCUUGUGAACCUUCCAGCCAACAUACUGCCUCCUAUGGACGCCCUCGAGGAUCCACAGGUAAUUUCUGGUGCCUUCCAAGCCUAAACUGUUUCAAAUUUUUUUUAACCCUGUUUCAAAUUCGUGUUGUGCGGCUACAACAAAUAUAAGAUUGCAUAACUCUAACACAAAGAAGUACAAGAGGGAGCAUACUAUUCAUCUUUUUCAUGGGCUAGGAAGGGCCUCGCCCAGCUUGCACUUUAUAAAAUCUUGAGUUUGUAGCAUUGACAUAAAGUCAUGGAUGUACCGGUAGUUGAAUGCAUACCAAAAAUAUAUGCUUGGUCCUCCGGUAGUUCAAAGGAUACAAGGGACAACAAUGUCAUGAAUGGCCUCCAUAAAAUUGGACAUAUCAUUCCGACUCAUUCUCGGAUUGGACAUCACCCAAUCUCGAGACGACAAUGCCAUCGAUGGCCUCGACUUCACCAGCAAGGGCUUGGCCGUGACAUCGCCGGAGGCAGCAAAUGAGGUGUCCGAGGCAUGUGACGACAGGAGAAGGUUGAGAAAGAAAUCGUGUCCAAGGAGACGAACCCGUUCUGGGAAGAAGAAACACACCCGACCAUUUCGUUUAGAUAGGACGGUCCACGAAAUCGACUGAUAGAAAAUAUGAUUUCAUCCAUCUGACGUAUAGGUGGCCCCUUUCUUUUUAAGAAUAAAACGCUACUCUGUCCUAUCCAUAAAGCCGCGUCGAGUAAUAUAGAUUUUUUUUGGAAAAGAAAGUUAAAUCCCUGGCCUCUGCAUCAAUCGAUGUAUGCAACCAUCUUUAUUAAUUAUUUCAUAAAAGUCUCACAAGAAUAUAGCUCACGCGCACCUAAAACACACACCUCACGCACAUAUAGGGGGUGUUUCUUUUCAGGGACUUUUUGGUGUAGGGACUAAAAAAAGUCCCUUUUAGUCCCAUGUGAAAGAAACAUGAGGGACUUUUAUGGACUAAAAGGGGGUAUCUGAGACUAAAGGAAGAAGUCCCUAUGAGAGGGAUUUUUUGGGACUUUCUUGUCACUUUUUUCAACAGUGCCCCUACUUUUAGCAUGUCAUUUAAUAACUUCUAGUAUAUUACCAGGGGUAACAUGGUCUUUUUGCAUGUCAUUUAAUGACCUCUAGUCCAUGUUUAGUCCUUGAAAAGAAACGGGUAGGGACUAGAGACUUUUUAGUUGGGACUAAAAAAAGUCCUAGGACUUUUUAAAGAAACAGGGCCAUAGUAAUGUGGAGUGCUCUCACUCCACAUAUCAAAAACCGGUGUUGUCGUCAAUCCAUCCACAUAACGUAUCGGGAACAACAGCCGGGCCAGCACACCUAAAACACACACCUCACGCACACGUUUUAGAGCCCCAUCAUCAUCGAACGACUGACCCAUCUUCAGGAAAGAGAUCCGCAUCAUCCUUGCCAGUCGAUGACGCUAGAGUAUAGCUGCCUACUGCAAAGGCCCUGGCGGUAGGUGUGCAUGCCCUACCGUAACAAAGCGAAGUAUCAAAUACAAUGCUUGUACGCAUCUACCAUUAGACACCUCGACGGUAGGAUUGCACAUGAUACAACCAGCUUGUUUGGCGGUAGGGUUACGCUGCACUGUUGUGUCUAUCGGCAGUGGAUUCGACGGAAAUGCUUGUACGCAUCUAAUGUAAGACACCUCGGCGAUAGAGUUACGCUGUGAUGAUGUGCCUACCGUGAGGGGACUCGACGGUAAGCUAGUGCGGCCAUCGAUCCCGGAUGUAGAAAAAAGGUCAGAUCUCGAAUUGUUUACAAACCGAGGUUAAAUCUCGCUCAACUUUUGUAAAAAAGGGUCAAAACCCUGAAAUCUCGCUCAAUUUUCACGGACUUGCACCGGAAGUCCCCGCGGAUGCGUUGAGCUGAUGCAUGUCCUGUUUUCCCUGGUAUUGUGGCACUCCAUGCUGGAAGGUGCAGGCUGCUGCACAUGUAGUCACUGAUGGGAUCGAAGCAGCCGAUGCCCACUCAUCGAUUGUAGGAGUUGGAAACGGGUGAGUUGGCAGCCCGUGAUUUCCUCGUCUGCGUUGCUCCUUGUGAACCAUGGAGCGAACACGCUGCUUCCUAUUCAAGCCCUCAACGAUCCAUGGGUAAUUUCUGAUGGCUUCCAUGCCUACACUGAUUCAAAUAUGUGUUGUGCGGACACAACAUGUAAGAUUGGAAAAUUCUAAUUCUAACACAAAGAAGUACACGAGCAGCAUGCUAUUCAUCUUUUACUGAGGGGCGUUGGUCUAGCUCUCGAGUGCAGUUUUAUAAAGACUUGAGUAAUAGCAUUGAUAUGAAGCCAUAGGUAUUCCCGUAGAUCAAUAGUUAGGCAUCCAUUCAUUAUGUGCUUGGUCCUCCGGUUGCUAUGAGGAUUCCAUUUUUUUAGCGAAAGAGAGGCCUCCUUCUUUGAUUUUAUAUAAUGAAACCAUCUGGUCUUAAGCAUCUACAAAAACUGUACACACCACAGGAAGUUACAAGCAUCCAGCAAGAUUCAAACUAAAGAUUUUUUUUUAGAUCUGUUCCCACUGUGCAUUAAUUCAGAAUAUUGUGAGGGAUACAGAUAAAGUCUGGCUUUACAGCCAGCCAAACGUGUCCGCCGAAAGGUAAAGAAAUGACAGCUUUAGCUAAGAGAUGUGCUUCCAAAUUCGAGACUCUCAACUGGUGCAAGAUUUCAGCUGAAGCAAAAUCCUGCAUACUCCUCCUCAGCUCAUAGAUGAUUGCUUUUGAAGCUCCCAAGUAAUCAGACUUGAGGUGGUUCACUGUAUUCAGACAAUCACUAGCCACCACAAUAUUGGUGCAGGCAAGGUCCCUUGCUAGAGCAAGAGCCUCAUUCGUUGCCAUGGCCUCCAGAAUCUCCUGCAAACAGAGAUCAGCAACAGAAACCGCCGAUGCCUCCAAAAAGUUACGUGAAUCAUCUCGGCAAAUAGCAGCAAAGGCCCCUCGAUCACCAUGCCUCCCAACCGCAGCGUCAACAUGUAUUUUAACUGAACCCACUGGAGGAGCUCUCCAUGUUGCCUGGUGACGUACAUGCAUUCUCGGAUGUUGGACAGCAGACCAGAGAUGGACUAGGACUAGCUCUGCCUCCUGUAUGUCAUGUAAAUACCCUUGUAUGAAAAAAAAAGUAGUUAGGGGUGACUGAAACUGCUCCUCAUGGAUGACUUUCCUCCUUGCCCACCAUAUCGACCAAAGUGUAACAAGUAACUUAACAAAAUCCUGACCACUUAGUGAAUCCUGCAUUUCCACCAGUCAAAGCCUUGCAUCAUCAUGAGUGCAAGCAAUCAGGUGCUCAAUCAGCUCGUCGUCCACAAGGGACCAGACACACUUUGCCAUUGUACAGUUUAUAAGCGCAUGUCUCCAGGUGUCCGGUGCAGAGCAACAAACUGCAGGACAUAAAUCAAAUUCCGUCAUCUUCCUAUGGCUGCGAACAGAUUCAGUAGGAAUCGAGUUCCUAGCUAAGCGCCAAGCAUUUUUUUUAGCUUUCCCGGAAUCUUCAUCUUCCACAGGCUCGUCCAUUGCCUGUUUCAAUUUUCUGGUGCCUUCCAAUCCUAAACUGUUUCAAUUUUUUUAACACUGUUUCAAAUUCGUGUUGUGCGGCUACAACAAGUAUAAGAGUGCAUAACUCUAACACAAAGAAGUACAAGGGGAGCAUACUAUUCAUCUUUUUCAUGGGCUAGGAAGGGCCUCGCCCAGCUUGCACUUUAUAAAAACUUGAGUUUGUAGCAUUGACAUAAAGUCAUGGAUUUACCCGUAGUUGAAUGCAUACCUUGAUUAUAUGCUUGGUCCUCUGGUAGUUCGGAGGAUACAAGAGACAACAAUGCCAUUGAUGACCUCCAUAAAAUUGGACAUAUCACUCUGACUCAUUCUCGGAUUGGACAUUGCCCAUAAAAUUGGACAUAUCACUCUGACUCAUUCUCGGAUUGGACAUCGCCCAAUCUCGAGAUGGCAAUGCCCUGGACGGCGUCGACCACUGCGACAAGGGCUUGGACGUGACGUCGUCGGAGGCAGGAUGUGAGGUGUCAGAGGCAUGGGACGAGAGGAGAAGGGUGAGAAAGAAAUCGUAUCGGAGGAGGCGAACCCGUUCUGGGGAAGAAGAAACACAUUCGACCAUUUCUUUUAGACAGGACGGUCCACGAAAUCGACUCACAAAAAAUAUGAUUUCAUCCAUCCAACGUAUAUGUGGCCCAUUUCUUUUUAAGAAUAAAACACUACUCCAUUCUAUCCAUAAAGCCACGUCAAGUAAUAUUGAUCGGAGGGAGUAUUAAACUUUUGACCUAUGUAUUACGAUCAUGCACCUACCCAACACACAAAAAUCACUAGUAUUAGUUUCUCUCAAGGCCCCGCUAAUUUUCAUUCCCGAGAAGCUAAGCAGAACCAAUCACUACAAGAAAUAUUUCAAUUUGUGACCUUCCAGCAGUGAUCCCGUUUUCGAAACCAGACCAUCGCAUCGCUUCUUUUGCACAGGAAAUCGAGAUCUACACGACCAAGCUAGCACACUCAUUGCUUCAGUCGCAACACAUCGAAUGUUGAUGCGGAUGCACUGAGCUGCUGCCUGCCUUGCUUUCCCCAGCAUUAUGGCACUCGACGCUACAAGGUGCAGGCCGCUUCACAUCGAGUCACAGAUGGGGUCGAAGCACCCAAUACCCACACAGUGAUGGUAGCAGCUGGAAACCGGUGAGUUGGCAGUCGGCGAUUUCCUCAUCGACGUUGCUUCUUGUGAACCGUCGAGCGAACACGAUGCCUCCUAGUCACGCCCUCAAGGAUCCAUUGAUAAUUUUUGAUGCCUUCGAUGUCUACACUGAUUCAAAUCCCUCAAGGAUCCAUUGGUCAUUUCUGGUGCCUUCCAUGCCUACACGGAUUCAAAUCUGUCUUGUGUGGAUACAACAAGUAAGAUUGGAUAGAUCUAAUUCUAGCACAAAGAAGUAAACGAGGAGUAGUCUGUUCAUCUCUUCCUUAGCAUGUUGGUCUAGCUCGGGUGGACUUUAUAAAGACUCGAGUGGUAGCAUUCAUAUGAAGCCAUGGAUCCUUCAGUAGCUCAAUAGUUAAGCAUCACUUCAUUAUGUGCUUGUUCCUCCGGUAGCUCAAAGGAAUUAUUAUUUUAAGCGAAAGUGGCCUCCCUCUCCGAUUUGAUAUGAUUGAAAUUACUUGCGGAUCGUUUUACCCACGCUGGUGUAAUCUUUAGAUUUUUUAUUUAGUGAAUCUUGGACUUCAAUAAUUCCAGCAUCAACUCUAAUGAUUAGUACUCCCUCUGUUUCUAAAUGUAAGACCUUUUAGAUAUUGCACUAUGAGCUACAUACGGAUGUACAUAGACAUAUUUUAGAAUGUAGAUUCAUUCAUUUUGCUCCGUAUGUAGUCUUCUAGUGUAAUCUCUAAAAGGUCUUAUAUUUUGAAACGGAGGGAGUAGUAACUAGUGAAACCUGCGCAUGUUUAUAUAAGCAAACAUGCAUAACUCAUCAACUACGCUUAACAAUUAUGAUAGCUUCGAGCAAUUUUCUCAACCUCGAACUAUACCCUCACUUCAUCGUCUCCCAGGGUUGUCAUAUGGUGGAUUGCCUCAAAUUUGAUUUCACCCUGUGAUCAUGUUCAUGGUGGUGCACCUCCCCACCAUAAUAAUGGAGAAGAGGUGCAAGAGGUGGAGGGGGGGAGUAAGCAAAGAAUGCAUGUUCGGGACGGACGAAGGUUAAAGACAGGCUGCUCGCUAGUCAACCUGACCCAUCGAUCUAUGUUGAUGCAACCCUUUUUCCAAACAUUUGUGAUGUUUAAGUGGCACAUCUAAACAAUUCUUGUUCUUGAUCCAAUUUUCUUUUGUUCAUUUUUUCUAUGUUAAUGAUGGUCAAG
rnacentral:lncRNA from 1 species